rnacentral:rRNA from 1 species
GACGAACGCUGGCGGCGUGCUUAACACAUGCAAGUCGAACGGAAAGGCCCUGCUUUUGUGGGGUGCUCGAGUGGCGAACGGGUGAGUAACACGUGAGUAACCUGCCCUUGACUUUGGGAUAACUUCAGGAAACUGGGGCUAUUACCGGAUAGGAGCUCCUGCUGCAUGGUGGGGGUUGGAAAGUUUCGGCGGUUGGGGAUGGACUCGCGGCUUAUCAGCUUGUUGGUGGGGUAGUGGCUUACCAAGGCUUUGACGGGUAGCCGGCCUGAGAGGGUGACCGGCCACAUUGGGACCGAGAUACGGCCCAGACUCCUACGGGAGGCAGCAGUGGGGAAUAUUGCACAAUGGGCGGAAGCCUGAUGCAGCAACGCCGCGUGCGGGAUGACGGCCUUCGGGUUGUAAACCGCUUUCGCCUGUGACGAAGCGUGAGUGACGGUAAUGGGUAAAGAAGCACCGGCUAACUACGUG